rnacentral:lncRNA from 1 species
AAUAAAUGAGCAAGAAAUUAAAUUGCAUUAAAGUAAAUUGCAAGAAUUAAAUGCUUGAAUUUAAAGUUAGUAAUUAGUAAUUUGUGCUAGUGUGCCAUAAGGCAAUUUAGCGCUAUGUUAAGCAAUCGUAAGUGGACUAAUGUAGUAGUCUCACCUAUUUGAGGCCGGUCAAUAAAACUAUAGGCAAAUAAACAUAAGUUAGAGACCAUGAUUAGUAAGCCAAGAUCCUACAACUUG